rnacentral:lncRNA from 1 species
GCUAUGUGUCGAAUAUCAUCAGCUAACCCGUAGGUUGUGUGCAGACUGUAUGUCGAUCCAAGUUGGUAUUUUAUCGACUUGGCUAAGUCCGUUGCCUUUAGUCGAUCACGUAUCGUCGAUCUUAAUCGGUGGAAAGCUGAUUGGGGCAAGACUUAUUGAUCCAAGUCAGAUUAAACCACAGCAAUUUGGUCGGCGAAGCGCAUUUCAUCAGUUGAGAGACGAGGAAGAAGACUAGUCAGCUAAGUGAUCAGGAUCUACCCCAACAUUAUCCAUUUCAUUUUUCAUGCAUGUUGUCUUGGACUCUGAUGGCCAUAUGCAACGUAGUGACACAUCUGA